GUGAGGCGAUUAAUAGGGUUGGCAACAUGAAACAUCUUAUAUCUCCAUAGCAACGCUCAAUUGUUUUUUUGUGUGAAACUUGAAAAUUGUUGUUUUUGUGCAAAAAUUGGCUUUUUACACCGAAAAAGCUGUUUUGAGGCUAUUGGAAGGGUAUUUUAAAGGUUUGACCCCCACAAAUGGGGCCUAAGUGGCGACUUUGAGUUAUUGUUGGCCCUGAAUCAAUCAAACAAGUGGUGUAUCAAAAGUACUUUUCCGGCCCAUAAUACAGCCCCUCACACACGGGAUCCCCCCUCAUGGCUUUCCUCCAUUCCCUCAAACGUGGAAACUGAUCAGAAGCAAAUGGCAAUUGUCGUCCGUGUGCAAUAACAACAGUUCCUGCCCUUUCGCCCCACGGCCACAACAUGUAAUCCACCAUUCCUGGUUUCUCACCCCCGAAAAACCUACUCCCUCUCUGGCACAACUCCAUUUCAAAUGUUUGCAAAUGAGGGAGGAAUUCUUGUGCCCACUCUUCGAGUGAUUUAUUCUCGUUUAGAGAGAUGCAACGGAGGAAGACACUAUGCAAGGGUUGGAUUUUUUUGAUGGCUGAAAUGAAGAAUGUGACACGAAUCCCUCCCGAGUUGUUCAAUUUGAAACUAAACGACGCUAUAGCCGGCGAACUGAACAAAAAACUAGCGAAUAAAGUUGUGCUCAAUGUUGGUCUGUGUAUAGCUUUGUACGACAUUACUAGUCUCCAAGAGUCGUACAUAUUCCCCGGCGAUGGGGCCUCUCACACCAGAGUCAGCUUCAGAUACAUCGUUUUUCGCCCCUUUAUCGAGGAGAUUUUAGUGGGGAAAAUCCGGAGUUGUAGCCAGGAGGGGGUUCAUGUGACUCUUGGUUUUUUCGACGACAUUUUGAUCCCCCCCAGUGCCCUCCAACACCCGUCCAAAUUCAACGAGACGGAACAGGCAUGGGUGUGGGAGUAUGAUACGGGAGAUGGGUGCAAACACGACCUUUUUAUGGACGCCGGUGAAACUAUAAAGUUUCGCGUAACAGCCGAAUUUUUCAAUGAGACUUGCCCCACAGGGAGUUUACAAGAAACGCAAGACAAGUCGGAGAAUAAAGUCCCUUAUAGUUUGACUGGGAGUAUAAAUGAGCCAGGUUUGGGGUUGCUGUCAUGGUGGGACACUUGAGAUUUUCGGCGAUGAGUUCGACGCCGUCGUCGGUGAUUUUGCUGCAACCGGAGAGACUGAGGACUGUCAGAUUUGGGAGAGAGUGAACUAGAAUUUGAUUGGUUAAUUUUUUGUCGACAAACCGAAAAUGUAGUUACCGAUAUUUACAACACCAUGAUUGGUGAUUUCCCAGCACGAAUGUAGUCUGAGGACAUUGAGUGAGUUGCUUUGUUUUGGGGAGAAGUAACCCAAAGCUGCGUCGGUGACGUGGUAGGCCUGGAGGGAGAAUUCGUAUAAUGCGGGGAGGAGUUGAGCCACGGCGCCGACAGCCUCAUCGGCGACAUUUAUGCAGUCGCUUAGUGUCAAAGACACGAUUCGGGGGUUGAGACAGGCCCAUAAACCAGCCUCGGUUAUCUCAUUGCAUCCCGCCAACUCCAACUCGUAUAACGCCUGAAAAAAAAAACAACUUUUAACAAAAAUGAAGGGAAUUUAUUGCAUUGUUUACUGGUAAUUAAGGAGAUGGUUUGUUUCAUGGUUAACAUGUCUAACCGCUGUAUCGAUCGUAGGCUAAUUUAGUAAAAUUACACAAAUCUGAGCGUAGAAUUUCGCAAAGUCACCCUUGAAUCGAAACUUGGCUUCUCUUAUUUCCUAAAGGUCAAAAGAGAAUCUUGACUGGGAAACAACAUAAUGACCUUUGGAAAACAGCUUCCGAUUGCACUUUAUCUCAUGAUUUAAGGGCAAAAAACUUCAACCCUUUCCGACCUCAAUGGUUCGGAUAAUUAUAUUUUAUAGCAUCUUUGUGUGCUAAUUGUUCAUUUCUGAGCUAACCGGAUUUUCCACUGCUUUAACUCCGAAAUAAAAUCAAUGUGUCUGCAAGAUAAAUGCUUCACUGGGCUGUCAUAGGCAUAGUGUUAUUUAAUUAGUAAAUUUUUUCAAUGAUUUUUACAAUAAACAAAUUUUAAUUCAGUUUUUGAUAGGCAACCAGUUAUACACAUGCAAAGUAAACGUUAAUUUUUUAUCUGUUCCUAUGCGGUUUUAGAUCGAUUAUUAAUUUUCUCUAGAGUUCCUACAUUUAAACUAAUAUAGGCAUUCUAGUUUUUUCAAUUUUUAAGGCCAUGAAAAUAAAAAACAAGGUCAUGAAAUAAACACGAAAUGUAUUUAGAAAUAAAAAAAAUAAAAACUUCCAAGUUCACUAUCGUAAUCUACUCGUAGAAGGAGAGGAAGAGUUUUAAAGUAAAAGUAUUUCAUUUUCUCGAUUCAAAAAGUCGCUAAAAUAAAAUUUUAUGAAAGACUACAAAUCGAGUAAAAUAUAGCCAAAAAUUGUUCUUUACUUUUUUUGUUUAAGUUUUUCAUAUUGUCGCUGGGAUUGUUUUGAAUAUAAAACAAGACCUUGAGGAGGUUAAAGUUAGAAAUUAUUGAAAUUAAAAAAUUCUAAUACUUUUCAAAAAAAUUAAGUAAAAUAUAGUAAAAAUAUGCUUAAAAUCUGAGUGGUUAAAAUUAAAAUUUGUUAAAAUAAUAAUUUUUCAUUCUUAUUGUGGUUUAUUUAAGGCCUGUUUUACAUUUUUAUGUCAGUCGAAUGACAAAUCAUCCAAAAUUACUUACAAAAAAUGACGCGAAAAUUAUUAUGUAUUUUUGAUCAUUUCCAAACCAACCGGAUUUACCGCUGCUUUAACUCCGAAAUAAAAAUCAAUGAAAUGUUGUUUCUAUAAAGAUAAAUGGUUCACUGGGCUUUUAAAUACGUUUCACAGAAAAAAGUUAUUAAUGAUGUCGAGACGUCUUCAAUUUAUAUUAAAAUUCUUUGCACAAUAAACUAGAAAAUAGCGUCGGGAUAUUGUUAUUUAAAUACAAUUUUUUUUCAGUUUUCAAAUUACAUUAAUGACGAUUUUUAUAAAAAAAAAAAUCAGAUUUUAUGUGUACUUUUAAAAAAUGAUGGGUUAAUGCAGUUUUUGGUAUGCAACCAGUUAUACACAAACGUAUACAAUUUAUUGGUAAAUCUAAGAAAUACAUUGGUAAAAAGAGACAAACUACAUAUUCCAAUGGAAAAAAGUAGUUCCAUCUUUUUCAACUGCUGUAUAUUUCGACUAUUUCUGUUUUAAAAUAAAAAAAUAAAAAUUUCAAGUUCACCAUUGUAGUUCUAGUUAUUUCCAAGAAAAGUUGUAAUUAACCUCAUUAUUAAUUGUAAUUAAAUUAAAGUAUACGGGGUGCCCAUUUUAUUUGUUCCUGCCUGAAGAAGGAAAGAUAGGCAACAUAAUAUACAUCUCAAACUAAAUAUUUUAUACAUAUAAAGUAUUAACAAUUCUAAAUCGAAUAAUUAUAGUCGGUGCUUGACUAUCGAAAACUUAAAAAAAAUUAAAUUCAAAACUCAAAUGUAUAAUAAUAAUGGGAACAACAGCAAGAACUUAACAAAUUAUGGUAUUCUUGGUUGCCUAUUUAUGAAAUUUAAGGGGACAACCUGCAGACAUUUAAAGGGCUUAAGUUAUUACUAACAUAAAAUUGUGUUUUUUUUGUAAAUUGUAACGUUAAUUUACUUUUUAUGAGUCAAUAUUGAUUAAAGUUUGGUAUGAUCAAGCAGCGACUCCAGUCCCCGAUCGGUGAUGCUCGAACACCUCAAACUCACCGUAUGUAUAUGUUUCGAGGCUAACGGAAACGAAUUAAUAAGAUCGAGUGCAUCUUCAUCGGAAGCCCCCAUCAAGCACAAAUUAUGAAACCCUCUCCUGAGCAGUGACGCAUACAAUCUCGAUCGUUCAUUCCCUUGCGCCCCUCUCAUCUCGCGACACUGCAGCACGGGCACCAGCCCCGUCCAGAACCUCGGCGCCCUAUACAGCACAUCCCUCCACCUGGUGCACACCUGCGCCAACACACACCGCUCGCAGGGACUGAAAUAGAGGAAGAACCUGGCGAGGAACUUGUCGUCGACCAUCAACUGCUCCCAUGGC